GAGGCAGGUAGCCUAGUGGUUAGAGGAGACAGGUAGCCUAGUGGUUAGAGGAGACAGGUAGCCUAGUGGUUAGAGGAGGCAGGUAGCCUAGUGGUUAGAGGAGACAGGUAGCCUAGUGGUUAGAGGAGACAGGUAGCCUAGUGGUUAGAGGAGGCAGGUAGCCUAGUGGUUAGAGGAGGCAGGUAGCCUAGUGGUUAGAGGAGGCAGGUAGCCUAGUGGUUAGAGGAGGCAGGUAGCCUAGUGGUUAGAGGAGGCAGGUAGCCUAGUGGUUAGAGGAGGCGGGUAGCCUGGUGGUUAGAGGAGGCAGGUAGCCUAGUGGUUAGAGGAGACAGGUAGCCUAGUGGUUAGAGGAGGCAGGUAGCCUAGUGGUUAGAGGAGACAGGUAGCCUAGUGGUUAGAGGAGACAGGUAGCCUAGUGGUUAGAGGAGGCAGGUAGCCUAGUGGUUAGAGGAGACAGGUAGCCUAGUGGUUAGAGGAGACAGGUAGCCUAGUGGUUAGAGGAGGCAGGUAGCCUAGUGGUUAGAGGAGGCAGGUAGUCUAGUGGUUAGAGGAGGCAGGUAGCCUAGUGGUUAGAGGAGGCAGGUAGCCUAGUGGUUAGAGGAGGCAGGUAGCCUAGUGGUUAGAGGAGGCAGGUAGCCUAGUGGUUAGAGGAGGCAGGUAGCCUAGUGGUUAGAGGAGGCAGGUAGCCUAGUGGUUAGAGGAGGCAGGUAGCCUGGUGGUUAGAGGAGGCAGGUAGCCUAGUGGUUAGAGGAGGCAGGUAGCCUAGUGGUUAGAGGAGGCAGGUAGCCUGGUGGUUAGAGGAGGCAGGUAGCCUAGUGGUUAGAGGAGACAGGUAGCCUAGUGGUUAGAGGAGGCAGGUAGCCUAGUGGUUAGAGGAGACAGGUAGCCUAGUGGUUAGAGGAGACAGGUAGCCUAGUGGUUAGAGGAGGCAGGUAGCCUAGUGGUUAGAGGAGGCAGGUAGUCUAGUGGUUAGAGGAGGCAGGUAGCCUAGUGGUUAGAGGAGGCAGGUAGCCUAGUGGUUAGAGGAGGCAGGUAGCCUAGUGGUUAGAGGAGGCAGGUAGCCUAGUGGUUAGAGGAGGCAGGUAGCCUAGUGGUUAGAGGAGGCAGGAAGCCUAGUGGUUAGAGGAGGCAGGUAGCCUAGUGGUUAGAGGAGGCAGGUAGCCUAGUGGUUAGAGGAGGCAGGUAGCCUAGUGGUUAGAGGAGGCAGGUAGCCUAGUGGUUAGAGGAGGCAGUUAGCCUAGUGGUUAGAGGAGGCAGGUAGCCUAGUGGUUAGAGGUGGCAGGUAGCCUGGUGGUUAGAGGAUCUAUACCAUGUUACCAUGUUACUAUGUCUGUUGUGUCAGUGUACUCAUUAGUCCUGUGUUCGGCCUCUUUGUCUUUAGCUAUAAAGUGGGAAGGGCACCGCCGUCCGGCCCCCAGGCAGCCAGGCAGGUUGAGUGUUAAUAUGGACCGAAU